rnacentral:rRNA from 1 species
AUUGAACGCUGGCGGCAUGCUUUACACAUGCAAGUCGAACGGCAGCGCGGGCUUCGGCCUGGCGGCGAGUGGCGAACGGGUGAGUAAUGCAUCUGAACGUGCCCAGUAGUGGGGGAUAGCCCGGCGAAAGCCGGAUUAAUACCGCAUACGACCUGAUGGUGAAAGCGGGGGACCGAAAGGCCUCGCGCUAUUGUAGCGGCCGAUGUCGGAUUAGCUAGUUGGUGGGGUAAAGGCUUACCAAGGCGACGAUCCGUAGCUGGUCUGAGAGGACGACCAGCCACAGUGGGACUGAGACACGGCCCAGAAUACUACGGGAGGCAGCAGUGGGGAAUUUUGGACAAUGGGGGCAACCCUGAUACAACCAUGCCGCGUGCGGGAAGAAGGCCUUCGGGUUGUAAAACGCUUUUGUUCGGGAAGAAAUCCUCUGGGCUAAUACCCCGGGGGGAUGACGGUACCGGAAGAAUAAGCACCGGCUAACUACGUG